UAUAAUUUUCAAUUUAGAAAAUUUUAGCGAUGAAUGCCUC
rnacentral:rRNA from 1 species